rnacentral:snRNA from 1 species
AUCGCUUCUCGGCCUUUUGGCUAAGAUCAAGUGUAGUAUCAAGUACAGGUUUAACAUUUGUCAGUUUGUGAAUAAUGGAAUAAAAACAAAUGAAGAUGUGAUGAUCAAAGAAAUAAUAGACAGAAGCUCUCCUGAUCUGAAAUUACAUUUGGAUUAAAAGAGCUCACUUGUU